rnacentral:rRNA from 1 species
UAAUCAAGGGGGCUAGCGUUGUUCGGAAUUACUGGGCGUAAAGCGCAUGUAGGCGGACGUUUAAGUCAGGGGUGAAAUCCCGGGGCUCAACCUCGGGACUGCCUUUGAUACUGGGUGUCUAGAGUGUGGAAGAGGUAAGUGGAAUUCCGAGUGUAGAGGUGAAAUUCGUAGAUAUUCGGAGGAACACCAGUGGCGAAGGCGGCUUACUGGUCCAUUACUGACGCUGAGGUGCGAAAGCGU